AAAAGCACAAAGUUUGUAAAAACCCAAGAUAUAGACAAUAUUUUGAUGUUUCAAAGGGUAAUGAUGUCACACUAAAAAAAUGAUAGGCUUAUAUUAGAUAUCAGAAAAUGCUCCCUGUGAGGGUGGUGAGGCCCUGGCACAGCUGCUCAGAGAAGCUGUGGAUGCCCCAUCCUUCACAGUGCUCAAGGCCAGGUUGGAUGGAACUUUGGACAGCCAACUCUGGGAAGCGUCUCUGCCCAUGGCAGGGGUUGGGGCUGGAUGGGUUUCAGUGUCUUUUCCAACCCAGUCUGUGAUUCUGUGAUUCUGUGGUUCUGUGGUUCAGUGGUUCUGUGGUUCUGUGAUUCUAUGUGCAUGCUCCCAUCCCCAGCCCCUUCCCACGUGGGGAUGUUGGCUCCUCAUGCUAUGCUAUAGGGAAGGACAUGUGAGAAGCGUGUGUUGAUGGCCAGCAGUAUUUCCUGCAGUGGUAAUCAGUGCAGCUGCCCAGCAGGAGACCAGCACCAUGUCCCAGUGCAGGAUUGGUCCCACCAACACUAGGACCUUCAUGAAGACCCCCUGGUCUGUUGGGGUACAUGUGUGGCCAGGCUGGCACCAGUUCUGGGUCUGCUGGUCCUACCACACUCUCUUCUUACACCACUUGCACCAAGGGAAGAGGCUCCCAGCACGCAGCCCCAGGCUGCAGCUGGCCUGACAAAGCAGAUUUGAUCUUGCUGGCCUGGCGUUUCGCAACAGAAGGACAUUUUCCAGAGAAAGUCCCCAGUGGCCCCAGACCCCUCCAGUGGCAGCUGGCGCCGGCACAGAGCUCGAAUGGAAGGACGUGCAGGAAGCUUUCCAGAUCCAGAGCCCCACGGGAGGACCUUCCCUGCGUGACCAGCUGCAGCAGCUCGCACCCACGGUGCCCACGGUGCCCCAGCGCUACCUGCUUCUGCCAUCAGCCUCACUUCUCCACCCCUUGGCCUCCUGCUGCUUUAUAAUGUAUUCUGUGGCUUUUAUGUGCAAAUGCAAUAAAG
rnacentral:lncRNA from 1 species